CCUCUCACCUCUACUGGGACUACAAAAAUCUGUCACUUCCUGCUGCCUUUUUUUCGAUUCAAAAAGAGUCACGCUUAUGAAUGAGUCAAAACACUUUUUUAUGGAGCAGCAGUCUGGAUAUUUUUGUGUUCGGCUGGAUAAAGGAGACUGAGGAAUCAGAAAGUGUCUUCAAAAAUUGCGCCUGCUGAAGAUCCCACCACUCCAGGUCACUGAACUGACAUCGCUCCCCCAUGUAGCCCAAUACACAACUGCAACAGGCAUACAUGGGAAAAGGCAAACAGCAGAAUUAUGGAGUUCAUGAUCAGAAUCUGUUAUUGAGCAACAAGGGAAUGAACCACCACAAUGGAUGCUGGUUGGACCAUGUUGUCAUGGAUACGUUGCAGCUUUUUCCCAGUCCGCUUGUGUAUACUCGUCAGCUGCUGGUGCUCCCGAUCAGAUAUCCACAACCUGUCCUCAAAUACGGCAAGGUCAAAAGGUUGACCUGGAUGAAUCAGAAUAGAGGGAAAGGAGUAUUUCAAGGACCUGUCGAUCUGAGCCAUCCAGGGCAGCAGUCUCCACCAGGCCCCUCCUCUCGUCGCACCAGAACAGACGAUCCUCUGUGAAAUCGAUUGUCAGGCCACUUGGUGACACAAGGUUGGUGCUAGCAAUGACAGCACGGUCUUUCCCUUCCAAAGAAGCACUUUCCACGAGAGGCUGGGCCCCUAUAUCAGUCCAGAACAACUUCCUCAAAAAGGAGAAGGGAAAAAAAAAGAUUUAUUAAUCCCACAGAACCUCCUGUGUGUGUGCUUCAUCACAAAUACAUAUGUGAACCUCAUUUUAAACCUUAGUUGGAUUAAAAUUAUCGCAAAGCAAGCUUUCCCAAAAAUGUACUUUUUUUUUCUAGCUUUGAAGCUACUUAAUGGAAAAGUACAAGGGACAAUGUUCUCAAGUAGAUCACUGCUAGCAACUGUUUAGUCCAGCGCCACCUUAGCUACAAUUGCUAGCAGUAGAUAACAACGUUUCAGAGGCUCAAACUGUAUUUUUGUAACAACCUUGGUAUCCUCAUCUGCAUGCUGAUAUUUUGCAAAGUGAAUAUCUUUUUUUCUGUCUGGUCUUGAUAUGAGGCCAACUUGUUAUUAUAUAGUUCUGGAAAUUCAGAAAAAAGUCAUUCGUUUUUCGUUCAUCAUACAGUUCAAGCAGUGGUCAACUAUUAUUGGCUGUGCCCACAAAGGUCAGCGCAGCUUGGGUCAAAGUUUAACAAAUUUGAACUUUCCACACCCCCCGCUUCACUUGGCGCACCAUGGGCAUCCACGCAAAACGGAAAAGCUGUUAUCUGUGAUAAUGUGUAUAUUCCAUGAAUCACAAAGUAGAGCUAUUGACACACUGAAGAUUUGUCCUGUGGUAUCACAUACUGUAUGCACUGCUGUUUAUUGAUGUCAGAUUAAAUCCUUCUAGGUGGGUUGCA